GUAAUUUCCUGGUGGAGCACAGCCUUGACUGUUUGAAAUUACAAGUGUACUUAGACAAAGGCACCCACUUCGUUCAUUGAGAAGUAAUACUAGGAAAGUCCCUAGACUCUUUUCUAAUGUAACUGCACUGCUGUAGGGAGAGGGCUGCAGCUAAAGGCACUCUGAUGGAUGUGGCUAGCAAACAUUCCACAUGUCAUUAGAGGCACUGGCAAGAGUCUGGCAACUGAAGAGGAGCCUGAACAGCGGAUCCAUUGCAAAUAAACUUCAACAGCCUGAGCCAAAUACCAGGAUCUACAAGAAUGCCAACACAUUCACGUACUUAACUGCAGCACAAUUCAUACUGAUGACAAUUUAACUAUUAGAAGAGCAGUAUUCUAGAAAUAAAAAGUAAAAUUAUGGAACUCAAAGGCAAAGAAUUUUUGGCCUAAAGGUUUAAAU